rnacentral:rRNA from 1 species
CCCAAACUCCUACGGGAGCCAGCAGUGGGGAAUAUUGGACAAUGGGCGCAAGCUUGAUCCAGCAAUGCCGCGUGUGUGAAGAAGCCUUUCGGGUUGUAAAGCACUUUUAUCAGGAGCGAAAUACCACGGGUUAAUACCCUAUGGGGCUGACGGUACCUGAGGAAUAAGCACCGGCUAACUUCGUGCCAGCAGCCGCGGUAAUACGAAGGGUGCAAGCGUUAAUCGGAAUUACUGGGCGUAAAGGGUGCGUAGGCGGUUGUUUAAGUUGGAUGUGAAACCCCCGGGCUCAACCUGGGAACUGCAUUCAAAACUGACUGACUAGAGUAUGGUAGAGGGUGGUGGAAUUUCCUGUGUAGCGGUGAAAUGCGUAGAUAUAGGAAGGAACACCAGUGGCGAAGGCGACCACCUGGACUAAUACUGACACUGAGGUGCGAAAGCGUGGGGAGCAAACAGGAUUAGAUAACUCUGGUAGUC